CGGGGAAAUCUUUGGAGCUUGCUUUGAGGAUUCCUAGUGGCGCGCGGGUGAGUAACACGUGAGUAACAUGCCUCGUAGAGGGGAAUAGCCCGCCGAAAGGCGGAUUAAUACCCCAUAGUCCCGCAAGGGUAAAGGUGGCUUCGGCUGUCGCUACGAGAUUGGCUCGCGUCCUAUCAGCUUGUUGGUGAGGUAACGGCUCACCAAGGCAACGACGGGUAGCUGGUCUGAGAGGACGAUCAGUCACACUGGAACUGAGACACGGUCCAGACACCUACGGGUGGCAGCAGUCGAGAAUAAUUCACAAUGGGGGAAACCCUGAUGGUGCAACGCCGCGUGGAGGAUGAAGGCCCUAGGGUCGUAAACUCCUGUCAUUUGAGAGUAAGACCUGGUCGUUAAUAGCGGACAGGGUUGAUAGUAUCAAAAGAGGAAGGGACGGCUAACUUCGUGCCAGCAGCCGCGGUAAUACGAAGGUCCCGAGCGUUGUUCGGAAUCACUGGGCGUAAAGGGAGCGUAGGCGGAUAGGUAAGUCAGAUGUGAAAUCCCGGGGCUCAACCUCGGAACUGCAUCCGAUACUGCCUGACUAGAGUAAUGGAGGGGUAACUGGAAUUCUCGGUGUAGCAGUGAAAUGCGUAGAGAUCGAGAGGAACACUCGUGGCGAAGGCGAGUUACUGGACAUUUACUGACGCUGAGGCUCGAAGGCCAGGGUAGCGAAAGGGAUUAGAUACCCCUGUAGUCCUGGCAGUAAACGGUGUGCGCUUGGUGUGAGGGGUUUCGACCCCCCUUGUGCCGGAGCUAACGCGUUAAGCGCACCGCCUGGGGAGUACGGUCGCAAGACUAAAACUCAAAGAAAUUGACGGGGACCCGCACAAGCGGUGGGAGUAUGUGGCUUAAUUCGAUGCAACGCGAAGAACCUUACCAGGGCUUGACAUGCAUUGCUAAUUCCGUGAAAGCGGAUGAGUCUUCGGACACCUUGCACAGGUGCUGCAUGGCCGUCGUCA
rnacentral:rRNA from 1 species